CUGAGGACGAGAAACAAGCAAACCCCUUUAACCAAAGAAGAAUUUUUCCGAUGUGGCUUGUGAGAUUUGGGGGUCGAGAGAGGGUGAAAGCUCAAAACAGAAGAGAUGACAUGAAGGGAAAGGGAAAGGGAAAGGAAGAGCAAAAUGGUGGCUUUGACUUCAACACGGAUUUGGCCAUACCACAGAUUUCAAUUGUCAAAUGAGUGAAAUUGAGAGCUGCUUUGCCUUUGGUUUUGCUUCUCUAUUAUCAUAU
rnacentral:lncRNA from 1 species